rnacentral:sRNA from 1 species
UAAGUUCUUAUCUUCAAGAAUUAUGUGUACGAUUCUGAAGUAUCAUUCAUUGGUGGUUCUGAAAUCAUUGGAUUCUCCAAACGAAAUUAUUUAC